AAAUACACUCGAAUCGUCAUUCCUGCUCUUUCCUGCUCCUUACACCCUCCCGCUCCUGUCAAGGAUAAUAGCUGGCGCUGUUUAGUAUACAUGCACGUAGGCAUGUAUAGUCUACAGUCUACACACUAGACUGCCUGCAAACAGACGGUGCAAGCGUGGCGCCAGAGGAUGUGGGUUGGUUAUGGCUACCCACAAUUCUACGUGCAAUCUGUUAGCUGACUGAUGAAGCUUUGCAGUAAAAUGACAUCUUUGCGGUUUGCAUGGGUGUUUAUUUUUCUGUUUUAAACAAGCGCCUACUACAUGAAGAUGUCUCAUUUUUUCCUUUUCUCUAGGCGGUGAUCAGAAAGCUAUAUAAUUGAUUCCCAGAGUCCUCUACUGUUUAGGCACACAACCAAUUAGAGAUUUAUUAAAAGAAAAUCAUUCAUUAAUUAUUCCUUCAGUGUCGGAGAUCAAUGUUCCUUACUCAAUCAGAAGAGAGAGAGAGAGAGAGAGAUUACUAUAAAAAGAAUGAUUGCCCCCUGAGAGGUCAUACAGUGACGUAUUGUAAAGGUGUUGCCGCCAAACUGUGUCCGACGUGAUGACCGCGCGGUGAGUAUUUAAAGUUAAUUGUAUCACGAGUUGGAACUAUGAUUGUCAACGUUAUUGCGUAUUAGCUAUACAAAUAAUUUUCAUGCUGGUAUAAGGUGUGAAGGAGGUGCAACAAGCGUCUGGUAUAGGUAGAUAAACUAUACCUUCGACAUAUGCUUCUGCAUCAUUAGUCGUGUCGUAUUGUCGGAUUAAAGAAAUUGAAUAAAAACGUAUUUUUCUGUUUAAAUCGUAAAUACCGUAUUAGAGAAACACACAAGAGCACAGAGCUGCUUCUUGGCUACUGGUACAGUUCAUUUUAUUCAGUUGCAAGUGGUUCAUCUUCACCUCCUGCAAGAAGUUGAACAACAAACAGUAGCCAAAAGAUCAUCUCCCUGCACCACACAUCGUUGAAUGAAAUUAUAUUGAGAAGGGUGAGUCAUAGCCAAGGACAAAAAUACCGUGGUAAAGCACUGAAAACUGUAAGUUCAGUGAGCGAGACAAGCCAUGCUGGUAGGUAUACGUGGAAGCAAUGGCAACGCCUGCGCAGACACCCAGUAACCAAUGGUCACUCUGGCAGGUGGUAGUUGCACCCCCUGGCAAGCAGUGACGAACCACUCGGAAGGAAGCUUUUCGGUGAAGUUGUCCUAUAGUGAGUGCCAACUGCUGUUGCUACAAAAAAAUAAGACAGCAAACACCCUCCGAUCUCUGGAUGGCAAGGCAAAGCAAGAUAAAAUUCUAGGAUGAGCCACAGAUACAUGGCAAUGGUAAGGGCAAUAUAGAAGAAGCCUUCAUGCCGUAUGGAGAGCAGUAAGAAGGGACAGAAGAGCGAGGUACUAACAGACAGGAGCCGUCCCAUCAUGUUAUGUGAGCCAA